rnacentral:misc_RNA from 1 species
GAUGAAGAACGUAGCGAAAUGCGAUAAGUAAUGUGAAUUGCAGAAUUCAGUGAAUCAUCGAGUCUUUGAACGCACAUUGCGCCCCUUGGUAUUCCGAGGGGCAUGCCUGUUCGAGCGUCAUUAUAACCCCUCAAGCUCAGCUUGGUGUUGGGGCCUGCCGCACGGGCAGCCCUUAAAAUCAGUGGCGGUGCCAUCUGGCUCUAAGCGUAGUAAUUCUUCUCGCUAUAGAGUCCCGGUGGAUGCUUGCCAUUAACCCCCAAUUUUCUAUGGUUGACCUCGGAUCAGGUAGGGAUACCCGCUGAACUUAAGCAUAUCAAUAAGCGGAGGA